rnacentral:tRNA from 11 species
UGGGCCGAGCUGGAUUUGAACCAGCGUAGACAUAUUGCCAACGAAUU